UGCAGUCGAACGAUGAUCCCAGCUUGCUGGGGGAUUAGUGGCGAACGGGUGAGUAACACGUGAGUAACCUGCCCUUGACUCUGGGAUAAGCCUGGGAAACUGGGUCUAAUACCGGAUACGACCAUCUGGCGCAUGUCAUGGUGGUGGAAAGCUUUUGUGGUUUUGGAUGGACUCGCGGCCUAUCAGCUUGUUGGUGGGGUAAUGGCCUACCAAGGCGACGACGGGUAGCCGGCCUGAGAGGGUGACCGGCCACACUGGGACUGAGACACGGCCCAGACUCCUACGGGAGGCAGCAGUGGGGAAUAUUGCACAAUGGGCGCAAGCCUGAUGCAGCGACGCCGCGUGAGGGAUGACGGCCUUCGGGUUGUAAACCUCUUUCAGUAGGGAAGAAGCGAAAGUGACGGUACCUGCAGAAGAAGCGCCGGCUAACUACGUGCCAGCAGCCGCGGUAAUACGUAGGGCGCAAGCGUUAUCCGGAAUUAUUGGGCGUAAAGAGCUCGUAGGCGGUUUGUCGCGUCUGCUGUGAAAGACCGGGGCUCAACUCCGGUUCUGCAGUGGGUACGGGCAGACUAGAGUGCAGUAGGGGAGACUGGAAUUCCUGGUGUAGCGGUGAAAUGCGCAGAUAUCAGGAGGAACACCGAUGGCGAAGGCAGGUCUCUGGGCUGUAACUGACGCUGAGGAGCGAAAGCAUGGGGAGCGAACAGGAUUAGAUACCCUGGUAGUCCAUGCCGUAAACGUUGGGCACUAGGUGUGGGGGACAUUCCACGUUUUCCGCGCCGUAGCUAACGCAUUAAGUGCCCCGCCUGGGGAGUACGGCCGCAAGGCUAAAACUCAAAGGAAUUGACGGGGGGCCCGCACAAGCGGCGGAGCAUGCGGAUUAAUUCGAUGCAACGCGAAGAACCUUACCAAGGCUUGACAUGAACCGGAAAAGACCUGGAAACAAGGUGCCCCGCUUGCGGUCGGUUUACAGGUGGGUGCAUGGGUUGUCGUCCAGCUCCGUGUCCUGGAGAUGUUGGGGUUAAA
rnacentral:rRNA from 1 species